AUGCACGCUGGCGGCGUGCUUCACACAUGCAAGUCGCACGAUGAAGCCCAGCUUGCUGGGUGGAUUAGUGGCGAACGGGUGAGUAACACGUGAGUAACCUGCCCUUAACUCUGGGAUAAGCCUGGGAAACUGGGUCUAAUACCGGAUAGGAGCGUCCACCGCAUGGUGGGUGUUGGAAAGAUUUAUCGGUUUUGGAUGGACUCGCGGCCUAUCAGCUUGUUGGUGAGGUAAUGGCUCACCAAGGCGACGACGGGUAGCCGGCCUGAGAGGGUGACCGGCCACACUGGGACUGAGACACGGCCCAGACUCUGACGGGAGGCAGCAGUGGGGAAUAUUGCACAAUGGGCGCGAGCCUGAUGCAGCGACGCCGCGUGAGGGAUGACGGCCUUCGGGUUGUAAACCUCUUUCAGUAGGGAAGAAGCGAAAGUGACGGUACCUGCAGAAGAAGCACCGGCUAACUACGUG
rnacentral:rRNA from 1 species